rnacentral:lncRNA from 1 species
AUGAGGACUCACCAAACCUUAGUUUAAUGACAUGUUUGCUGAUGCCCUGUUGACCAAAAGCACUCACACCCAGGAAAAGCACUCACACCCAGGAUCUGUGUGGAAAGGGACUGCAUACAAGUGUAUGGAAAUGAGAAAGAGAAGAUUGGAAAAUUCAGUGAAGGCCUUGCUGUUAAUGCUCUACCAUGUCCAUUCCGUGGCCUUUUGAGUCAUUUUUUUUUUUCCUCUCAUUGUUUAUUGAGAACAUAUUUAUAUUCUUUUUUCCCUGGGAUAAUGAUUUUGUGUUACUUAACGAACACUUUUUAAUUACAACAUCAGUAGAAUCUGGGAAUGUUUUAUUUUAUUUUAACAUUUCUCCAAAAUAAACAAUUAAUGUUUCGAUUUUCUCUUCAAAUUUAUAUUCAUAACAAUUCAUCCUGAUAAAUGAGGCAACCACCCACACCUUUCGUAAUUGAGCCUGCCUGUAUACCAGUUAAUGGAAAGACUCUAGAUUUUAGUAUAUGGCCAACUCUUAUCCAUAGUGGCCUACAGACACACUUAGGUCACUCACAGGAACUUGGAAUGUGACUUUUGGUUUAUAAAAUAGCAAAGCACACAGGCCUCUUGCAGGACUUGGCAUAGAGCCCUAAUAACUUAGGCCUCACCAGUACCAUUCAGCUUCUUAAAGUUCAUAUAGCAGGUCAUUAAUAGAUACAUCACAUUUUAUAUAAAUUCAACUGAUACUGAUAAAAUCUGAGACCCUAGGUGAUAAAGAUUAG